GAUGAACGCUGGCGGCGUGCCUAAUACAUGCAAGUCGAGCGAACAGACGAGGAGCUUGCUCCUCUGACGUUAGCGGCGGACGGGUGAGUAACACGUGGAUAACCUACCUAUAAGACUGGGAUAACUUCGGGAAACCGGAGCUAAUACCGGAUAAUAUAUUGAACCGCAUGGUUCAAUAGUGAAAGACGGUUUUGCUGUCACUUAUAGAUGGAUCCGCGCCGCAUUAGCUAGUUGGUAAGGUAACGGCUUACCAAGGCAACUAUGCGUAGCCGCGCUGAGAGGGUGAUCGGCCACACUGGAACUUAGACACGUUCCAGCCUCCUACGGGAGGCAGCAGUAGGGAAUCUUCCGCAAUGGGCGAAAGCCUGACGUAGCAACGCCGCGUGAGUGAUGAAGGUCUUCGGAUCGUAAAACUCUGUUAUUAGGGAAGAACAAAUGUGUAAGUAACUAUGCACGUCUUGACGGUACCUAAUCAGAAAGCCACGGCUAACUACGUG
rnacentral:rRNA from 1 species